AGGGCGCUGCCCCCUUAUCGCGGCGCGGCUUAUCGCGAAGACGCCCUUGAGCGGUGUUCUCUGAUCCGCCCCGGAACGGCAGUCCGACGCCUGAGAGAUCGGGCCGCGCCACGCACCGCGCUUCGGGUGCGCCAGACCCGCGCCCUGGGGUCCUCUGUGCCGAAACGUCAAGGGGGCCUAGGGGCGCAGCCACUUAGUCACCUCCCUGAUUCUCCUGGAACAUGAAUGCCCCUUCUCCUUACGUAUAAAAACAGAACAUGUCAUCUAAUUAGCUGGCCCCAGUGUGCCAAGGGCCCAAUUGAAAAUCCCAGAGAAGUAUGGACUUUCCAGGAAAAUGCAUAUUUGAACGCCAAUCGCAUAUGAUUUCAGUAUCAACACCUGAACAUCCACUUCAGCUGGAAUACUCCAAUUACAGGGUGCUCAUUACAGCAACUGUCAGCCUCCUCUACCUGUGAGGAACCUCACCUUUUACAGAGGACAAAUCAGAUGAAUGAGUAGGGAUGAUUCUGAGUAUCACCACCACAGCAGUUUCCAGGCCAAUGGCUAAGACUCCACUGGUGCCUUCUAAUGAGAGUCCAGUGAAUACUUAAUGAAUGCAGAAGGUGGGCUGGGAGGCUUGAGAAGCCCCUGGGUCAGGCUAUGAGCUCGUUCCACCCUGAAAGAUAAGAGACAUCUCGGCUGCUAUCAAGAGCCAGGACCCAAGUUCGAUCCCCAGUACCAAAAAGAAAAGAAAAGAAAAAAAAAAAGCCAGA